rnacentral:rRNA from 1 species
UACGGAGGGGGUUAGCGUUGUUCGGAAUUACUGGGCGUAAAGCGCGCGUAGGCGGAUUAGAAAGUUGGGGGUGAAAUCCCGGGGCUCAACCUCGGAACUGCUUCCAAAACUGCUAGUCUAGAGUUCGAGAGAGGUGAGUGGAAUUCCGAGUGUAGAGGUGAAAUUCGUAGAUAUUCGGAGGAACACCAGUGGCGAAGGCGGCUCACUGGCUCGAUACUGACGCUGAGGUGCGAAAGUGUGGGGAGCAAACAGG